UUUCUGCUCGCCGCGGAUUCGCGCCUCCACCGGUUCCCAGCCGCGGCUGCCCGCUCCACGAGCCCGUCCCUUCUUAGGAGGCUACAGCCCGGUCCUUCACGAGAGUUCAGGUGGCCGCCCUGCCCCUCCCCAGCGUGGGCGACGCUUGCUUCUCCCUAAGCCCGCCGUGGAAGGGCUGCCCGGCGCCUCACCUUGCCGUCGCUCUUCCUCCGAAUCUUCUGACAGCGGCCGUAGGAGCCGGUGCCGAUGCUGUGCAGCACCUCGUAGUCCUCCACCCGGGACGGCAUGGCGAGCGGCCACCCUGGCAACCACACCACCGCGCCGCUCGGAGCCCAGGCUCGCCCGCUGCAGGCCAACCGCGCCGAAACCCGAGCCCCUCGUCUGCCUGCCUGAGUCGGCGAGCAACCGGCCACCGGGUCAACCGUCGCGGGCUUCGGCCUCGCAUUCUAUUGGUCCACAGCGAAGGUGCAUCUCAACUCUGAUUGGCUGAGAAAACACAACACUGCUAGGCAUCCUGGGAAAAUGCGUGUCGCUAGGCAACCGCGUCGGCGUUGGUGUCUGCGUCUAGCUGCUCUACGGAAUACGAGCCGCGCCGAAAACCCCUGGGAUUUGGGAUCGCAAAGCCUGUUGGGGCCUCGGUAAUUCCAUUCCUUGGCUGAAGUCGCUAUGGUAACGGAUGUCCGAGGCUCUGGACUGGAGACACUGGCCUUUUGACCUUUCCACUUUGACCCCACCCUUUUCCGACUCCUCUGCACUCGGGUCCUGAACCUAAGCCCUUGUGUGUUGAGGAUUUGAUGACCCUGAGGGUGCGGUGAGUGCACCGAGCACUUUAUAGUCCUCACACCUAGAGAGCCAGAAUCCCUGUUCCAGCCCGGCUUGGUGGCGCGCUCAGGCAGAUCUCUGUGAGCUUGAGGACAUCCAGAGCUUUGUAGAGGGUCCCUGCCUUACCCCCACCCGCGAGAAAGACACCCCACGCCCAGAGAGAGAGAGAGAGAGAAACUAGGCCCAACUGCCCAGAAGAGAACUAAUUAAAAAAUAAUAAGAAUAAAGGAUAUUCAUAGUAAUAACGCAGAGUUGACAUGUGUUUUCUGAGCACAGUUAGCAUAGUCUAGAUCUCUGAACAUUAAACUGAGAGACCUGUUGAACAUAGAAACGUAUCCAAAGCUUAGGGACUGAGUAUGGAAGCAUUCAGAACAGAGUCACCACACUGCCAAAUUGUACUUCUAAGACAUCUACCAAAAAAGUGUGUUAGG
rnacentral:lncRNA from 1 species